rnacentral:lncRNA from 1 species
AUGAAGAGACUAAUCCUAAGCAAAAAUUUAAAAGUUAAGAGUUGAAAAGAUCUGACCAAUGGGAUGCAAUCUAAUAGACAAGAAUGUCAUAUAGAAACCCAUUUUUCCUCUGGACUUUAAAUCAAGCAAUAUCAAUAAGCAAGUAGCAAAAUGAAGAGCAAGGCAUCAAAUAAAGAUAGUCACAUCCAAGCUAGCAACUUCAUAGUCUUCUCCUUAAUCUUCCCAUGUAUCAGAUGACAUAAUC